AUGCAUUGCUCAGUGUGCAGUGGCAGCAAGCAGAAGCCUCCUUGGUAGUAUGUGCAGCUUGCUGCUCCUAUGGGUUGUCCUAGGUACCUUGGAGACAGAU
rnacentral:snoRNA from 1 species